rnacentral:rRNA from 1 species
UUAGCUAGUUUGGUGGGUAAAGGCUUACCAAGGCGACGAUCCGUAACUGGUCUGAGAGGAUGAUCAGUCACACUGGAACUGAGACACGGUCCAGACUCCUACGGGAGGCAGCAGUGGGGAAUAUUGGACAAUGGGCGAAAGCCUGAUCCAGCCAUGCCGCGUGUGUGAAGAAGGUCUUCGGACUGUAAAGCACUUUAAGUUGGGAGGAAGGGCAGUAAGUUAAUACCUUGCUGUUUUGACGUUACCAACAGAAUAAGCACCGGCUAACUUCGUGCCAGCAGCCGCGGUAAUACGAAGGGUGCAAGCGUUAAUCGGAAUUACUGGGCGUAAAGCGCGCGUAGGUGGUUCAGCAAGUUGGAUGUGAAAUCCCCGGGCUCAACCUGGGAACUGCAUCCAAAACUACUGAGCUAGAGUACGGUAGAGGGUGGUGGAAUUUCCUGUGUAGCGGUGAAAUGCGUAGAUAUAGGAAGGAACACCAGUGGCGAAGGCGACCACCUGGACUGAUACUGACACUGAGGUGCGGAAGCGUGGGGAGCAAACAGGAUUAGAUACCCUGGUAGUCCACGCCGUAAACGAUGUCGACUAGCCGUUGGGAUCCUUGAGAUCUUAGUGGCGCAGCUAACGCGAUAAGUCGACCGCCUGGGGAGUACGGCCGCAAGGUUAAAACUCAAAGGAAUUGACGGC